rnacentral:piRNA from 1 species
UCGUGCAGUGUCCUCCUGACUCCCAG